UCCGGUUUGUCACCGGCAGUCUCUUUAGAGUGCCCAACUGAAUGUAGCAACUAAUGACAAGGGUUGCGCUCGUUGCGGGACUUAACCCAACAUCUCACGACACGAGCUGACGACAGCCAUGCAGCACCUGUGUAUCCUGGUAUUGCUACCUCGUCAGGCUUUCAGACUUCUACCACCUACAUGUCAAGGCCAGGUAAGGUUCUUCGCGUUGCAUCGAAUUAAGCCACAUACUCCACCGCUUGUGCAGGCCCCCGUCAAUUUCUUUGAGUUUUAAUCUUGCGACCGUACUCCCAAGGCGGCUCACUUAACGCGUUAGCUUCGCCACAGACGGGGUCGAUUCCGUCUACAGCAAGUGAGCACCGUUUACAGCUAGGACUAC
rnacentral:misc_RNA from 1 species